UCGAGCGCGUAUGCAAUACGAGCGGCAGACGGGUGAGUAACGCGUAGGAAUCUACCUUUUUCUACGGGAUAACGC
rnacentral:rRNA from 1 species